UCAUCAAACACACCAAUCGUGCGGGACAUGAUCCGGGAGGUGUGUGGCUUCGCACCCUACGAGCAGUGAGCCAUGGAGUUGCUCAAAGUGUCCAAGGACAAGCGCGCACUCAAGUUCAUCAAGAAGAGUGUGGACACGCACAUCCGCGCCAAGAGAAAGUGGGAGGAGCUGAGCAACGUGCUGGCAGCCAUGAGGAAGGCGGCGGCCAAGAAGGAU
rnacentral:lncRNA from 1 species